UGGCCCUAUAGCUCUUUUGGAAUUUGUCUAACAGGUUUUUCAGUUUUUACCAGAAAAUCUCCCAC
rfam:Nomascus leucogenys chromosome 6, whole genome shotgun sequence.